UUGGAGAUUUGUCCUUUGUGGGGUUUUCCUGUGAGCCUAGAUCUUCAGAGGCAGAUGCUGUCACUGGGGACUUGCAGGAUUCUACUUGGUUCAGGCCAGUCCAGCUGUGAUCCACCUCUAAGCUCAGGAGGACUGAGAGCAGGCUGAACACAGGUCUCUUCUCUGGGAUGGUGUGCACUGCUGAAUGAUGAAUGUCAGAAGUGAAGGAAAAUACCAUUACAGCAGCCUCUACUUGCUCUCACAGAAAACUUACUGUGCAACAGAAAUGUGUCGAAUGUCCAGCAAGGGAUUUCUACGAGGUGGUCACAGCUUCACUGCAAAGUGUGGUAUAGGCCUGACAGAUAUGCAUUAAGCAUGGCACUUGAGUAAUGCAGAAGCUGAAAUGCACCAGGUGCUCCAUGGCACAGGUGUUCUGUGGAUGCUGGCUCUGGCUUCAAGGAUCUCCCAGCCUCAUGCAUUCAGAGUGUUUCCUGACACUGAAUAUGAGAGCAGCUACUUAUUUCACCUUUUUCACUCUGCUGUUGUAAACCAUAUUCUUAACAAGGAUGCAUUUCAGUUGUUCAGCAGCCUGCGUAUAAACUAGCCUUUGUACCAAAAUGCUUAAAGUACUGUUUUGUGAAUAAACACAGUCCAAACUACUGAAGCUAAUGAAAGCCUUUUCAUGAACAUUAAUGGGAGUUUGAUCUUCGUGUGCUGCUGCACAUCCAGGAUUCCUGCUGAUCUUUAGCAGGGUGA